GGGUAAUCUUCCGCAAUGGGCGCAAGCCUGACGGAGCAAUACCGCGUGAGGGAGGAAGGCUCUUGGGUCGUAAACCUCUUUUCUCAGGGAAGAACAAAAUGACGGUACCUGAGGAAUCAGCAUCGGCUAACUCCGUGCCAGCAGCCGCGGUAAUACGGAGGAUGCAAGCGUUAUCCGGAAUGAUUGGGCGUAAAGCGUCCGUAGGUGGUUAUGUAAGUCUGUGGUUAAAGCGUGGGGCUCAACCCCAUAAAGGCCAUGGAAACUACAAGACUUGAGUGAAGUAGGGGUAGAGGGAAUUCCCAGUGUAGCGGUGAAAUGCGUAGAGAUUGGGAAGAACACCGGUGGCGAAAGCGCUCUACUGGACUUAAACUGACACUGAGGGACGAAAGCUAGGGGAGCGAAAGGGAUUAGAUACCCCUGUAGUCCUAGCCGUAAACGAUGGAUACUAGGUGUUGCCCGUAUCGACCCGGGCAGUGCCGUAGCUAACGCGUUAAGUAUCC
rnacentral:rRNA from 1 species